rnacentral:rRNA from 1 species
CCUACGGGAGGCAGCAGUGAGGAAUAUUGGUCAAUGGGCUUACGCCUGAACCAGCCAAGUCGCGUGAGGGAAGACUGCCCUAUGGGUUGUAAACCUCUUUUGUCAGGGAGCAACGCCGGCUACGUGUAGCCGGACUGAGAGUACCUGAAGAAAAAGCAUCGGCUAACUCCGUGCCAGCAGCCGCGGUAAUACGGAGGAUGCGAGCGUUAUCCGGAUUUAUUGGGUUUAUAGGGUGCGUAGGCGGUCCGGAAAGUCAGCGGUAAAAUCCCGGGGCUCAACCCCGGCGAGCCGUCGAAACUGGGGGGCUUGAGUGCGGCGGAGGCAUGCGGAAUGCGCGGUGUAGCGGUGAAAUGCAUAGAUAGCGCGCAGAACCCCGAUUGCGAAGGCAGCGUGCCGUGCCGCCACUGACGCUGAGGCACGAAAGCGCGGGGAUCGAACAGGAUUAGAGACCCCUGUAGUC